rnacentral:misc_RNA from 1 species
AAGUCGUAACAAGGUUUCCGUAGGUGAACCUGCGGAAGGAUCAUUAUAGAGGUUUAUCCUUUUCUGUGAACUUAUUAUCUGGUGUGUAUGUCUGUGAGAACGAGUGCGGAGCACGAGUUGAUAUCAAUUGUGAAAGCAAUGAGUCGAACCAUUUGUUCAACACACAGUAUACAUAUGCACCAAACACUUUAUAUCAAUUUUUGUCUGAAGAAAAGAAAUGAAAA